GACGAACGCUGGCGGCGUGCCUAAUACAUGCAAGUCGAGCGAAUCAAGAGGAGCUUGCUCCUCUUGGUUAGCGGCGGACGGGUGAGUAACACGUGGGCAACCUGCCUGUAAGACUGGGAUAACACCGGGAAACCGGUGCUAAUACCGGAUAAUCCUUUCCCUCUCAUGAGGGAAAGCUGAAAGUCGGUUUACGCUGACACUUACAGAUGGGCCCGCGGCGCAUUAGCUAGUUGGUGAGGUAACGGCUCACCAAGGCGACGAUGCGUAGCCGACCUGAGAGGGUGAUCGGCCACACUGGGACUGAGACACGGCCCAGACUCCUACGGGAGGCAGCAGUAGGGAAUCUUCCGCAAUGGACGAAAGUCUGACGGAGCAACGCCGCGUGAGCGAUGAAGGCCUUCGGGUCGUAAAGCUCUGUUGUUAGGGAAGAACAAGUACCGGAGUAACUGCCGGUACCUUGACGGUACCUAACCAGAAAGCCACGGCUAACUACGUGCCAGCAGCCGCGGUAAUACGUAGGUGGCAAGCGUUGUCCGGAAUUAUUGGGCGUAAAGCGCGCGCAGGCGGUCCUUUAAGUCUGAUGUGAAAGCCCACGGCUCAACCGUGGAGGGUCAUUGGAAACUGGGGGACUUGAGUACAGAAGAGGAAAGCGGAAUUCCACGUGUAGCGGUGAAAUGCGUAGAGAUGUGGAGGAACACCAGUGGCGAAGGCGGCUUUCUGGGCUGUUCCUGACGCUGAGAAGCGAAAGCGUGGGGAGCAAACAGGCUUAGAUACCCUGGUAGUCCACGCCGUAAACGGUGGGCACUAGGUGUGGGGGACAUUCCACGUUCUCCGUGCCGAAGCAAACGCAUUAAGUGCCCCGCCUGGGGAGUACGGCCGCAAGGCUAAAACUCAAAGGAAUUGACGGGGGCCCGCACAAGCGGCGGAGCAUGCGGAUUAAUUCGAUGCAACGCGAAGAACCUUACCUGGGUUUGACAUGUACCGGAAAGCUGCAGAGAUGUAGCCCCCGCAAGGUCGGUAUACAGGUGGUGCAUGGCUGUCGUCAGCUCGUGUCGUGAGAUGUUGGGUUAAGUCCCGCAACGAGCGCAACCCUCGUCCUAUGUUGCCAGCGGGUUAUGCCGGGGACUCAUAGGAGACUGCCGGGGUCAACUCGGAGGAAGGUGGGGAUGACGUCAAGUCAUCAUGCCCCUUAUGUCCAGGGCUUCACGCAUGCUACAACGGCUAGUACAAAGGGCUGCGAUACUGCAAAGUUGAGCGAAUCCCAAAAAGCCAGUCUCAGUUCGGAUUGGGGUCUGCAACUCGACCCCAUGAAGUCGGAGUCGCUAGUAAUCGCAGAUCAGCAACGCUGCGGUGAAUACGUUCCCGGGCCUUGUACACACCGCCCGUCAAGUCAUGAAAGUCGGUAACACCCGAAGCCGGUGGCCCAACCCCUUUGUGGGAGGGAGCUGUCGAAGGUGGGACUGGCGAUUAGGACU
rnacentral:rRNA from 1 species